rnacentral:rRNA from 1 species
UACAGAGGUCUCAAGCGUUGUUCGGAUUCAUUGGGCGUAAAGGGUGCGUAGGCGGCGCGGUAAGUCGGGUGUGAAAUCUCGGAGCUUAACUCCGAAACUGCAUUCGAUACUGCCGUGCUUGAGGACUGGAGAGGAGACUGGAAUUUACGGUGUAGCGGUGAAAUGCGUAGAUAUCGUAAGGAAGACCAGUGGCGAAGGCGGGUCUCUGGACAGUUCCUGACGCUGAGCACGAAGGCCAGGGAGCAAACGGG